GCUAUUUUAAGAGCCAAUCACAUUGCAAUAAGAGUAUUCUUCCAUUUACUUAGCUAUGUCAACUGCAGUUAUUCAAUUCCCAGUUUCUCUCCCUUUGAUUUCUACUUCUCAGGUGAAGGUGCUGUUUAGGUAAGGGUGUGAUGUCUGUGCAAAAACAAAACAGGCUAUUUUAAAUCACCCAUAUUGAAGAAAUGUAGAGCAAUUAGACACCCUAUAACCCACACCUACACACUCAUGUAUCAAUCUGAUUGAUGGAUUGUGUUGUGCAGUAAGCAGGUUCAGGUGUAUAACUGUGGCUCCUUCCAACUUCAAAGAAUAGGCAAGAGGGCCAACCAUGGAGAAUAGUAAGACACUUCAUUAUUUCUAUAACUACGCUAUAUUGUUUGUCCUUGUGUGUCCGUUCAUGUUUUUCAGCAUAAAGUACUCUGCAGCCACUUAGUGUGGUGUGGACACCAGGUUAUAUCAGCUGUGUCGGUGAACCCCUCCUGCAUCUGAACUGGCUACAUAGAGGGCACAGCAUGAUCAGAGAUAUGUUUUGAUGUGAGAGGAUGCCUAACC